AUUGAACGCUGGCGGCAGGCCUAACACAUGCAAGUCGAACGAGUGGCGGACGGGUGAGUAAUGACUGGGCAACUGACUGAUGGAGGGGGAUAACUACUGGAAACGGUAGCUAAUACCGCAUACCAUCGGAUGUGCCCAGAUGGGAUUAGCUAGUUGGUGGGGUAAAGGCUCACCUAGGCGACGAUCCCUAGCUGGGCUGAGAGGAUGACCAGUCACACUGGAACUGAGACACGGUCCAGACUCCUACGGGAGGCAGCAGUGGGGAAUAUUGCACAAUGGGCGAAAGCCUGAUGCAGCCAUGCCGCGUGUAUGAAGAAGGCCUUCGGGUUGUAAAGUACUUUCAGCUGGGAGGCGUUACCCGCAGAAUAAGCACCGGCUAACUCCGUGCCAGCAGCCGCGGUAAUUC
rnacentral:rRNA from 1 species